CAUGUUUGUACCCCACCCAGUGUGCCUCAGCCCAGCUGGCUUUCCGCCCCUUCCCCUGGUCAUCAUCCCCUUCACACUCACUAAGUGGCCACAGGGUGGAGCUAGUUUAGGGGACUAUCCCUCUCCCUUCCGAUAGGGAUUUAAUCCACCCCCAGGGGAGGGAAAACAAGGAAGGCAAAGAGGUGACGAGAGCUCCCAGCCCCAUCACCCCCGGAGACAAAUGGGACCGAGAAAAAUGGUCAUCCAUCCUUUCCUUGAAGACUUCCAAUGGUGUAUGCAGGAUGGAGAUUAAGAGAACAAAGGGAGCUGGACACAAUUUUGAUUUCAUCUGUAUCAAGAAGCCUAAAUAAAGGAGGCUUAAGAAGUGUCUUCAUUCCUGUGAUGAAUAAUGGGGACUCUCUCUUCUCCUUAUCCUUAAGGUUUACAGAAUGCUUUUGUCACAAUAGCCCAGUGAGGCAGGCCAUGAGAGUGUCAAUUUCCUCAUAAUGGUCAUUCAAGUAUUUGCACCCCUAUUUAACAAAUGAAAAAACAAUACUCAGAGAGGUUAGUAACUCCCCCAAAUUCACACAGCUUACGUCUCCAGUUUCCAGGUGUGUCAUGGUCUCUACCUCCUUCCUGAAGCUUUUCCCUCAUUCUAUCAGAUCAGUCAUGACUUUCUCUUCCCAGUAACAACAGCACUUUUUUUUGUGAUAACUCUCCAAUAUACUUAUGCAACUCAAUAUCUGCCUUGGUUUCUUAUCAUCCUUCUAAACUGUAAGCUCUAUGAAGCAUCAUAGGAUAAUAAUAGCCAACACUGACAUGUUGC